ACCCGCUGAACUUAAGCAUAUCAGUAAGCGGAGGAAAAGAAACUAACGAGGAUUCCCGUAGUAACGGCGAGUGAACUGGGAAGAGUCCAGCGCUGAAUCGCGGUGUCUCUGAUACUGUGAGGUGUAGCGUAUAGACAGUGAGCUUGGGUUGGGCUGCCCGUUCAAGUUUCCCUUGACCGGGGCUCCAUAGAAGGUGCAAGACCUGUCCAACGGGUGGCGCCAGCCCAUUUUCGCUUGUCUCGGAGUCGGGUUGUUUGGGAUCGCAGCCCAAAGCAGGUGGUAAACUUCAUCUAAGACUGAAUAUGACUACGAGUCCGAUAGCGAACAAGUACCGUGAGGGAAAGUUGCAAAGCACUUUGAAGAGAGAGUUAAAGAGGACGUGAAACCGGUGAGGUGGAAACGGACAGAGCUGGCGUAUCUGGCCUGCAUUCAGCCUUGGGUUCUCUAACGUUAUGGUGGUGCUCUCCAGAUUGGGAGUUGCCGUUUCUGUUGGGGGAUUCGUGGUGCAUUUGCAGGUGGAGUGCGCUGAGGCGCUUAAGGCAGCGGCAUGGUUUUGGCUUUGAGGCUAGCCUCGCAAGAGGUCUGGUACCCGAGCAAGAGGAGUGCUGUUUGCUUUGAGUGUAUAAAUAGGCAAUGGAUUCGGGCUUGAGUGGGUGCCGAGCUGGAGGUCGGUGGCGGUCGCGUGCGACACGCGCCAGCAGUCAGUUCGGUCCUGCUUGAGCUCUCAUCAGCCUGUCCUCGGUGUAAAAGCCGGUCAUCUGUCCGACCCGUCUUGAAACACGGACCAAGGAGUUUAGCGUGUGCGCGAGUCAUUGGGUGUUGAAAACCCAAAGGCGUAAUGAAAGUGAAGGCGUCCCUUGUGGAGCUGAUGUGUGAUCCUGGUCACUGCGGUGCUUCCGGGCGCAACAUAGUCCCGUCCUGAUCGCUUGCGGUGGGGCGGAGACAGAGCGUACGCGCUGAGACCCGAAAGAUGGUGAACUAUUCCUGAGCAGGAUGAAGCCAGAGGAAACUCUGGUGGAAGUCCGAAGCGAUUCUGACGUGCAAAUCGAUCGUCUGACUUGGGUAUAGGGGCGAAA
rnacentral:rRNA from 1 species